CUCACCUAGGCGACGAUCCCUAGCUGGUCUGAGAGGAUGACCAGCCACACUGGAACUGAGACACGGUCCAGACUCCUACGGGAGGCAGCAUG
rnacentral:rRNA from 1 species